rnacentral:lncRNA from 1 species
UGGGAGGUGACUCUCUCAGGAGGUUGAAUAGGGUUAGAAAGACGGCAUGACUAUAUCUCUAAUGUAGACCUAAAGUGCUUCCUAGAGCUAGGGACCCGGAUUCUAAAUGAGACCUGAGGGGAUGGAGCUGUUGUUGACAAGAGCUGUUAGACAAACAGGACAUGGAGGAGGAGAGGUCAAAAGUCCGUCUGACUCACCUGUGCUAAGUGACUUGAAUGCCAUCUAAUCUAACUUCAAGGCCCACAUUUACA